rnacentral:rRNA from 1 species
GAGUGAACGCUGGCGGUAGGCCUAACACAUGCAAGUCGAACGGCAGCACAGUAAGAGCUUGCUCUUACGGGUGGCGAGUGGCGGACGGGUGAGGAAUACAUCGGAAUCUACUUUUUCGUGGGGGAUAACGUAGGGAAACUUACGCUAAUACCGCAUACGACCUACGGGUGAAAGCAGGGGAUCUUCGGACCUUGCGCGAUUGAAUGAGCCGAUGUCGGAGUAGCUAGUUGGCGGGGUAAAGGCCCACCAAGGCGACGAUCCGUAGCUGGUCUGAGAGGAUGAUCAGCCACACUGGAACUGAGACACGGUCCAGACUCCUACGGGAGGCAGCAGUGGGGAAUAUUGGACAAUGGGCGCAAGCCUGAUCCAGCCAUACCGCGUGGGUGAAGAAGGCCUUCGGGUUGUAAAGCCCUUUUGUUGGGAAAGAAAAGCAGCAGGUUAAUACCCCGCUGUUCUGACGGUACCCAAAGAAUAAGCACCGGCUAACUUCGUG